rnacentral:rRNA from 1 species
GAUGAACGCUGGCGGCGUGCCUAAUACAUGCAAGUCGAGCGAACGGACGAGAAGCUUGCUUCUCUGAUGUUAGCGGCGGACGGGUGAGUAACACGUGGAUAACCUACCUAUAAGACUGGGAUAACUUCGGGAAACCGGAGCUAAUACCGGAUGAUAUUUUGAACCGCAUGGUUCAAAAGUGAAAGACGGUCUUGCUGUCACUUAUAGAUGGAUCCGCGCUGCAUUAGCUAGUUGGUAAGGUAACGGCUUACCAAGGCAACGAUGCAUAGCCGACCUGAGAGGGUGAUCGGCCACACGGGAACUGAGACACGGUCCAGACUCCUACGGGAGGCAGCAGUAGGGAAUCUUCCGCAAAGGGCGAAAGCCUGACGGAGCAACGCCGCGUGAGUGAUGAAGGUCUUCGGAUCGUAAAACUCUGUUAUUAGGGAAGAACAUAUGUGUAAGUAACUGUGCACAUCUUGACGGUACCUAAUCAGAAAGCCACGGCUAACUACGUG